rnacentral:rRNA from 1 species
GAUGAACGCUGGCGGCGUGCCUAAUACAUGCAAGUCGAGCGAACAGAUGAGGAGCUUGCUCCUCUGACGUUAGCGGCGGACGGGUGAGUAACACGUGGAUAAUCUACCUAUAAGACUGGGAUAACUUCGGGAAACCGGAGCUAAUACCGGAUAAUAUAUUGAACCGCAUGGUUCAAUAGUUAAAGACGGUUUUGCUGUCACUUAUAGAUGGAUCCGCGCCGCAUUAGCUAGUUGGUAAGGUAACGGCUUACCAAGGCAACGAUGCGUAGCCGACCUGAGAGGGUGAUCGGCCACACUGGAACUGAGACACGGUCCAGACUCCUACGGGAGGCAGCAGUAGGGAAUCUUCCGCAAUGGGCGAAAGCCUGACGGAGCAACGCCGCGUGAGUGAUGAAGGUCUUCGGAUCGUAAAACUCUGUUAUUAGGGAAGAACAAAUGUGUAAGUAACUAUGCACGUCUUGACGGUACCUAAUCAGAAAGCCACGGCUAACUACGUG